GACGAACGCUGGCGGCGUGCUUAACACAUGCAAGUCGAACGGAAAGGCCCUGCUUUUGUGGGGUGCUCGAGUGGCGAACGGGUGAGUAACACGUGAGUAACCUGCCCUUGACUUUGGGAUAACUUCAGGAAACUGGGGCUAAUACCGGAUAGGAGCUCCUGCUGCAUGGUGGGGGUUGGAAAGUUUCGGCGGUUGGGGAUGGACUCGCGGCUUAUCAGCUUGUUGGUGGGGUAGUGGCUUACCAAGGCUUUGACGGGUAGCCGGCCUGAGAGGGUGACCGGCCACAUUGGGACUGAGAGACGGACCAGACUCCUACGGGAGGCAGCAGUGGGGAAUAUUGCACAAUGGGCGGAAGCCUGAUGCAGCAACGCCGCGUGCGGGAUGACGGCCUUCGGGUUGCAAACCGCUUUCGCCUGUGACGAAGCGUGAGUGACGGUAAUGGGUAAAGAAGCACCGGCUAACUACGUG
rnacentral:rRNA from 1 species